rnacentral:rRNA from 1 species
CCGUGGCUUUCGGAGCUAACGCGUUAAGUAGACCGCCUGGGGAGUACGGUCGCAAGAUUAAAACUCAAAUGAAUUGACGGGGGCCCGCACAAGCGGUGGAGCAUGUGGUUUAAUUCGAUGCAACGCGAAGAACCUUACCUACUCUUGACAUCCAGAGAACUUUCCAGAGAUGGAUUGGUGCCUUCGGGAACUCUGAGACAGGUGCUGCAUGGCUGUCGUCAGCUCGUGUCGUGAG